GCCGGGUGUGGUGGUGCAUGCCUGUAAUCCCAUCUACUUGGGAGGCUGAGGCAGGAGAAUCACUUGAACCCGGGAGGUAGAGGUUGCAGUGAGCCAAGAUCAUGCCACUGUACUUCAGCCUGGGCGAAAGAGUGAGACUCUGUCUCAA
ensembl:misc_RNA Metazoa_SRP Metazoan signal recognition particle RNA